UUGUUUCAGCAGCACAUGUACUAAAACAGGAAUGGUAAAGAAAAGAUUAGCAUGCCCCUGUGUAAGGAUAACAUGCAAAUUCAUGAAGUGUUCCCUAUUUUU
rnacentral:snRNA from 1 species